rnacentral:rRNA from 1 species
GACCGAACGCUGGCGGGCUGCUUUACACCAUGCAAGUCGAACGGAAAAGGCCCCUGCUUUUGUGGGGUGCUUCGAGUGGCGAACGGGUGAGUAACACGUGAGUAACUUGCCCUUGACUUUGGGAUAAGUUUAGGAAACUGGGGCUAAUACCGGAUAGGAGCUCCUGCUGCAUGGUGGGGGUUGGAAAGUUUCGGCGGUUGGGGAUGGACUCGCGGCUUAUCAGCUUGUUGGUGGGGUAGUGGCUUACCAAGGCUUUGACGGGUAGCCGGCCUGAGAGGGUGACCGGCCACAUUGGGACUGAGAUACGGCCCAGACUCCUACGGGAGGCAGCAGUGGGGAAUAUUGCACAAUGGGCGGAAGCCUGAUGCAGCAACGCCGCGUGCGGGAUGACGGCCUUCGGGUUGUAAACCGCUUUCGCCUGUGACGAAGCGUGAGUGACGGUAAUGGGUAAAGAAGCACCGGCUAACUACGUGCCAGCAGCCGCGGUGAUACGUAGGGUGCGAGCGUUGUCCGGAUUUAUUGGGCGUAAAGGGCUCGUAGGUGGUUGAUCGCGUCGGAAGUGUAAUCUUGGGGCUUAACCCUGAGCGUGCUUUCGAUACGGGUUGACUUGAGGAAGGUAGGGGAGAAUGGAAUUCCUGGUGGAGCGGUGGAAUGCGCAGAUAUCAGGAGGAACACCAGUGGCGAAGGCGGUUCUCUGGGCCUUUCCUGACGCUGAGGAGCGAAAGCGUGGGGAGCGAACAGGCUUAGAUACCCUGGUAGUCCACGCUGUAAACGGUGGGUACUAGGUGUGGGGUCCAUUCCACGGGUUCCGUGCCGUAGCUAACGCUUUAAGUACCCCGCCUGGGGAGUACGGCCGCAAGGCUAAAACUCAAAGGAAUUGACGGGGCCCCGCACAAGCGGCGGAGCAUGCGGAUUAAUUCGAUGCAACGCGUAGAACCUUACCUGGGUUUGACAUGGAUCGGGAGUGCUCAGAGAUGGGUGUGCCUCUUUUGGGGUCGGUUCACAGGUGGUGCAUGGCUGUCGUCAGCUCGUGUCGUGAGAUGUUGGGUUAAGUCCCGCAACGAGCGCAACCCUUGUUCACUGUUGCCAGCACGUUAUGGUGGGGACUCAGUGGAGACCGCCGGGGUCAACUCGGAGGAAGGUGGGGAUGACGUCAAGUCAUCAUGCCCCUUAUGUCCAGGGCUUCACGCAUGCUACAAUGGCUGGUACAGAGAGUGGCGAGCCUGUGAGGGUGAGCGAAUCUCGGAAAGUCGGUCUCAGUUCGGAUUGGGGUCUGCAACUCGACCUCAUGAAGUCGGAGUCGCUAGUAAUCGCAGGUCAGCAACGCUGCGGUGAAUACGUUCCCGGGGC